UACAGAGGGGGCAAGCGUUGUUCGGAAUUACUGGGCGUAAGGGGCGCGUAGGCGGCCUGCUAAGUCGAACGUGAAAUCUCCGGGCUCAACCCGGGAACUGCGUCCGAUACUGGCAGGCUUGAAUUCGGGAGAGGGAUGCGGAAUUCCAGGUGUAGCGGUGAAAUGCGUAGAUAUCUGGAGGAACACCGGUGGCGAAGGCGGCAUCCUGGACCGAAAUUGACGCUGAGGCGCGAAAGCCAGGGGAGCAAACGGG
rnacentral:rRNA from 1 species